AACUAGGGCUCAAAAAUGGGAUUUUUGUAAAUAGAUGGGUUUGAUCUCAAUUGACCCUCUGUAAACCUAAUUGGGGGUAUAACGAACGCGUUGGUGCGCUCGGUUCGACAAUCCGACGAGCGUACGCGAAGUUAUUAACGAAACAGUCUGUUUUGGUACAGAUAACAGCACGCGAGAUAAGCCUCCAAAAAUCAUGAAAGCGGAUCGGGAGCAUCGUGGUGUCGUGGAAUAAACUCCAGAAUAGACG
rnacentral:lncRNA from 1 species